AGUACAGUGUUCUGCCCUGACACAGCCAAGGCCAAGGGCAGUGCAGGCACAGCCACCGUGACUCUCUGCUGGGAGGUUAACAGCUCCAUCAGUUCAGGGACUGCCUGACCCAGCCUGACCAAAUUAGAGCAAGAGAAAGAAUUGUGCCAUGAAAAAUGGAAAACUCCUGAGAAGCUGUUCCAGCGUCAGGAGAGCAGCAGACAAGCUGGACUGGGGAAGAUUCUUCCUGCAAGACCUGCAGAGUGUAUGACACAUAACCAGCACCCAAGAAAUGUCUACCGAGGAAUUAAUGAAUGAGGGUCCCAUACUUCCUAGCCAUGCUGUUGGCAGGGAUUAACAUCAUUGCAAUUCUCUGGGUAGACCUUGGGAGGUUUAAACCAACCAGUGACCCCUAUCAUCCUAGCUCCAGAGAUUGGCUUAGGGAUAGUCACCCAAUGCAGGCCAAUGCAAGGUGACUUUGCCAGGGGCUUCUGGGAAAGAAGUUUCCUUUCUCUGAGGAAAUGUGAAUGAGGACAUCCAUAACUCAGGUUGUGUCUGGCAGCCAUCUUGUGAUCAUCUGGCAAGACAGCCCAAGAAUAAAGCCGUCACCAUGGAGACUAAGAAGAGACAGAAAGACACUGGGUCUUCAUUGUCUCGUCCAGCUGUUCAUGAGGCCUUAUCUGAAGCCCACGUGACCUCCGGACUACUCACUUACAUGAGAGAAUAAAGCUCUUUUUUGUUUAGACCAAAUAAAUACAUAAUACAAUUACAUAAUCCCUUGAUUCCUUUUUAUGACUGAGCUCAGAGACUAUAUUUUGUCAUUUUAAAUCACCUUUGUCUUACAGUUUAUUUAACUGAAACAAAUAAACAAACCAAAACACGCCAGUUUUUCACUCCUCUGUCAAAGCCUUUCCAAGAUCACUAAGCUUGUGAUGUCCUGGGUGAAUGAAGAAGUAACAGUGUUUUCAACAACAUAGAAGCUUAUUUCUCUCUCAUAUAAAAGAAGGCUGGAGUCUGGCUGGUAUGGGAGAUACAGCAUCAUCAAAGUUUUAUCUUUUCGUCCUGCCAUCCUUAGAAUAUGGCUUUCAUCUUCAAGAUCACUUCCUAAGCUAUGAGGAUGCAAAGGUAUAAGAAUGACAUAGCGGACUUUGGGGACUCGGUGUGGGGAGAAGUUGGGAGGGGUGAGGGAUAAGAGACUACAUAUUGGGUACAGUGUACACUGCUCUAAAAUCUCAGAAAUCACCACCAAAGAACCUAUCCGUGGAAUCAAAAACCACCUAUACCCCCAAAACCACUGAAAUAAAACUAAAAAUUAAUUAAAAAAAAAAACAACAUAA
rnacentral:lncRNA from 1 species